AUACGGAGGGUACAAACGUUAAUCGGAAUUACUGGGCGUAAAGCGCGCGUAGGUGGUUUGUUAAGUGGGAUGUGAAAGCCCCGGGCUCAACCUGGGAACUGCAUUCCAAACUGACGAACUAGAGUACGAUAGAGGGGGGUAGGAUUCAGAGUGUAGCGGUGAAAUGCGUAGAUAUUCUGAGGAAUACCGGUGGCGAAGGCGGCCCCCUGGAUUGAUACUGACACUGAGGUGCGAAAGCGUGGGGAGCAAACAGGAUUAGAUACCCUAGUAGUCC
rnacentral:rRNA from 1 species